GGAGAUUUGAGAUUAUUUGAUUAUCAUGGACAAUGUUAUAUUUACAGCAUUAAAGCUUCCACUUGGCAAAACUACUGUGAUGCAUUUGGUUGCAAGAGAAACUUUGCCAGAGCCAAAUUCCCAGGGUCAAAGGAACCGUGAAAAGACUGGAGAGAGCAAUUGUUGUGUCAUUCUGUAAAUACUUCCACUUAUUUCUGCUAACCGUGGUGUAAUAUAGUCCUUGUCUUUCAUGCUGCUGGUACAAAAAAAAAUAACAUUGCUUCAAGAACUCUUUUUAAAAACAAAUCUGUCCAUGAAAACGAUAUUUAAAAACUGGAGCAUUUCUGUUUUUAAAGCAGUUCUGUUACCAUGAUCAUUUUUGUUAAUGUUCCAUUACUUCCUCUAAAGCCUUCUAGUUUCUAUUUAUUUCUAUAUAAGGACAGGCAGAAUUAAACUGAAGAUUUUUUACACCACUGAACCCAUGCUAUAACCAUGCUCUGCAGAAUUAACGAUACAUGUGUAUCAGUGCUUUUAAAAAAAAAAUACUUUUUAACCCAAGCAUUUCUUGGAGGAAAUAUGCACUGCGGAUUGCAGUGUUAAUGUUGCCUUGUUGACCAGAUGAUGAAGCCAGACUUAAAUAUUAAAUUUCAGUAAGGACAUGGCAGUUAGUUGUGAAUUAAUACAAAUUCCACAAACACUGAACAACCUGCAAAUUUCAUAAUUAUUAAAAUAUCGGUAAAUUUAAGAAUUAGGUUAUGGAAGUGGAUGUGCCUGUAUUUUGAUGAGAGUUUAUAGAUUUGAUUUCAAAGAUUCUCUCUCUAUGCACUGCAAUAUGUUAACAUUGCCUACAAAGGCAUAUUUUGUUGCACAAAGCAUUUUGUAGCCUUGAUGAGAGAGGAUGAAGCUUUGUUCAAGCUUUUCUCUUUCUUACUGCUGAAUAUCAUUUACUGUAUUUGUGGUAGAAAGUUCUAUUAAUCAUCUUGUCUCUAUCAAUAAUGUUUUUGUCUUAUGUCUUACUGUUGACUGGAUAUUUCUAACCUGUCUCAAACUUCAAACUUCUUAACCAUAAACUAUUUUAGUAGAUGUAUUAAUUUGCAUUUCUGUAUUUAGUGCUUGCAAUUGUGCAAAAGAUGGGGAAACUGAAGUAUCAAUUGGCCCAUAUUUGUUCUGGAAGUAGGCCUUCCCCUUCCUUUUGUAGAAAAUUACAAAUGAUAUGCUAAUUAAAAUCUAGAGAAUUUGCACAGCACUGAAGCAUGAGCUACUUUCAUCUGAAUCUGUAAAAAAAAAAAAAGUUUUUAUAUUUUUCGGUGGGGGAGGUUAUUUCUUCCCAGCUGAAUUACAAAUGUGUAGAAUAUAUUUAAUAAGAAUCUUAUACAGUACUGAGAAUAGAACUUAUUAACAAGCAUAGAUUUCCUUGUAGUAUAACAGAAUAUACCAAUGUAAGUAACAUUAGCAGCUUUAAAAUGUUGCAGGUUGACUGUGUUCUAUAUCUAAUAGAUGCAUCUUCCCAGGUUGAACUCAAUGGUAUAUGUAAUAGUUUUACAGAUUGUAGGCAUGGUAUCUUAAUUGAUUUUAUUUUUUCCCUUUAUCUGUUUAUUGCUUUUAAUAUGCUUUACAUGCUAUGGUUCUUACAAAAUAUUGUUCAUAUUGAUCAGGAUAAAAUUUGUAUAGAGCUAAGUUUUGCAAUGAUUGUAAAUAUCACUGAACAUUUUCUUUCUGCAACCUGUACUGAUAGAUUACUCCUGUAAACUAAAUAAAAUAUUGCAAUUCAUGA